UUGAGAGUCCGCCUGCCGAUGCAGGGGACACGGCUGGGACCCUGGGCCAUAGCCGCUGGGCUUGUGUGUCCGGAGCCUGUGCUCUGCAACGGAAGAGGCCACAGCGCUGAGAGGCCCGCGUACUGCAAAAAAAAAAA